rnacentral:lncRNA from 1 species
UUGGUAGUCAACUUCUUCGUCCAUUUUUAUCGUAUUUUCAUGAUUCUUUUCUAUUGAUAACCCUUAUCCCCACAUUUUCGCUCUACUGGCUCAAUUUGUUUGACCAAUUCAUGGCCUCGAUCGAGAGUUCCUUGUUUCCUACCUUGAGGGGUCCUUAAUUCUCACUUGGUGAUCUUUGUUGUUGCCUUUGAGGGAUCCUAAUUUCUCCCUUGGAGAUACUAACUUCAUCGAGGUGGUACAAAUGACUAACUUCCAUGUCAACAACUAUUGUCCUCACCAUUGCUGCUCACGUGUUUUGUCCACGUUGUCGCUGCUCCAUUGCUGCUCAACGUGAUCUAAAAAUGGCAUCCCUUUCAAUUUGAAGAAGCUCAUUUCUCUAAAUCUGCAUGUGGUAUUAUAGGGAUUUAGUGGUGAAAUAUAUUGUUUGUUAUUUCAUAUUGUCAUACAAUAUGAUAUUAUUUUUCGUUUUGAUUUCAAAAUCAAUUUUUUUGUCACCGGGUUUUGAUGCUGAAAUGGUGUUUGUGAAAAUGCUCUAAUGAAUUAGACAGGUACUUCUAAAAUAUUAGUGGGUAUUGAGGUAAUUUAAAUUUGGGUUCAUUCAACUUCAGAGCUACUAAUUGUAUUAUUUUGUGUUUGGUUUUGUAGUGAAAUCUGAUCACUAGCUUGGUUUAAUUA